rfam:Celeribacter halophilus strain CGMCC 1.8891 genome assembly, contig: Ga0070548_106
CGGCCCGCACAACGGCUUCCUGACGUGUGGGCGACAUAACCCAAUGGAGCA